ACUGCAAUAAUCCUACUUUAAGUAUUACAUUUAUCUGCCUAAAUAUAAAAUAAUUUGAAACUAUUUCAUUUAGCUAAGAUGUAACUAUUUCAUUUGGCAAAAAACAGGAGAAGAAUUUGUAUUCCACUAUCUAGAUAAAACCAUCGUUAAUAUUUUGGUAUAGGUCCGUAUGUAAUUGUUUUAAUUUUAUACUACAUAUAGCCUAAGAUCUUUCCCCCCAAAAUAUGUAUAGAAGAUAUAUUUAAGGACAACUGAUUUAAAAAGUACUGUAUAACUAUGAUGAAGCUUCUGUCUUCUUUUAGUUUUAAAGUUUGCCAUAUAUUAUAUAUUCACAUAUAGCAUUUAUUUAUAUUAUAUAUAUCUUAAAUUUAGAGAAAAAGUUAGUGAAGAACUUCAUUUAACAUUAGAAUUCUAUCCUACAUAUGGGAAAAGAUCAUAAUAAAGCUUAGUAUAUGUCUUAGUUUCUUUUCUCAUCACUGAGACACAAUAUCUGAUACCCACAGUUAAAAGAGGAAAGGUUUGUUUCAGCUCACAGUUUAUAGAGGUUUCAGUCCAUAGUCAGCUCCAAGGCAAGGUUGCAAUGGCAGAGGGGCAUCACAGAGGAGAAACAGUCCAUAGUACGGCAGGCAGAAAGCAGCAAAGCAGGAAAGCAGAAGCCACCCUUUCCCUUUUAUGCCAUCCAGGCUAGAAGCCUUUUGGGUGGUGCCACCACACCCAGCAUGGACCUUUCCAUUAUCCACACCCAGAACUAUGACAAAUCAAUUAGUGGACUAAUCCAGUGCCACCAACCCUUAAUCGCAGUAUCACAUUCCCUAGAUCCAGCCACUUCUGAAAAACACUACCUAUGAGUGCAUGAGGGUUUGGGGGGACAGCUAGACACAAGCCGUAACACUAUAUUUAUACUGUUGUGUUUUUCUCAAAGUUCAGGCAAAAAUUUAAGACAGGGGAAGUGAAUAAAUGUCAAAAUAAAGGAAGUAAAACUACAUACCCAAGCUAAAGAAAACAUGCACUGAGACGGACAAGGUGUGCCUGUGCCGAAAUCUUGCUGACUUGGACUUAAUGGCUACUGGAAAUCACCCCCUCCACGCACAUACAGCGUGAACCAACGUGUAGCCAUCUUAGACUUCAUUUUUCCCUACACUGAGGAAGGAGGCUCAUGAGUUUGAGUACCCCCAAGGGCAAUUUUGGGAGACCUUGUCUCAAAAUAAGAAAAGGGCUAAGAGUCCAGCAGUGGUGGUGCAUACCUGUAAUCCCAGCACUCAGGAGGCUGAGGCAGGAAUAUUGCUUCAAGUGCAAGGCCAGCCUGGGCUACAUAGCAAGACCCUGUCUCAAAAAAAAGAAAGAAAGAAAGAAAGAAGAAAGAAAAGGGCUAGUAGUGUAACUCAGAGGUAGUUAUCCCUGGAUUUGAUGCCAGGUACUGCUGAGAGAGAGAGAGAAAAUGAAUGAAUAAGAAUGAUGCUUUUACGAAAGAACACUCUUUUGACUAUGGAACAGUGGUUUGAAAUCAUUGUAAAAAAUGAAUUAUAUAUAAAGAUGAAACAGUACAAAACAUUAUAUUACUAUUCUUUUAACAGAGGAAGUUUCUUUUUGUUAUUUUGAAAUUAUACGUCCU
rnacentral:lncRNA from 1 species